UAUGACUGAUGUGCGUGUGUCUG
rnacentral:miRNA from 1 species